UGUCGACAUCUGAGAGUUGGAAGAAUAUGUACAGUCAAUGGAACUUGAAGAUAAUCAUCUAGCUUUAUUUUCAACAGAGGAUGCUGUGAGUCUCUCUUCCCAUUGAUGCUGAAAAAAAUUUAGAGUUCCCUAGUUUCUCAUGACGUGCUGAUGCAAUUAGUAAACACUUGAAGGACACAAAAGCAGCUGAAUAGAUGGCAAUUUCAAACUUUCAAUUGAAGCAUUUUGUAAUUUUCAUAUAUUAUAAUUUUGUGUUUUGUAAUGUAAUGUAAUUUAAUUUAAUAUGUAGUGAAUUACAUUAUUGCAU